rnacentral:rRNA from 1 species
UACGGGGGGGGUAAGCGUUGUUCGGAAUUACUGGGCGUAAAGGGCUCGUAGGCGGCCAACUAAGUCAUACGUGAAAUCCCUCAGCUUAACUGGGGAACUGCGUGUGAUACUGGAUGGCUUGGAUUUGGGAGAGGGAUGCGGAAUUCCAGGUGUAGCGGUGAAAUGCGUAGAUAUCUGGAGGAACACCGGUGGCGAAGGCGGCAUCCUGGACCAAUAUUGACGCUGAGGAGCGAAAGCCAGGGGAGCAAAGCAGGG